CUGCAAACCACCGCUCCGGCGUUAACCAAUAUCCUCCUCACGCAAGCCACGGUAGUCCCUGCCAGAUCCGGUGCAGGAUCGCCGCCGCCUCUAGCCGACAAGGUCGAGGAGUGCAGCACGUUGCCCUCCACUGAUCCAGGUGCGACAGUCAGAUCCAUCGCCGAGAGGUGCAACACGCGUAUCUCGACCGCGACGCGACCCUGCAGCCUCAACCUCGGCCAUCUACUGUCGACGACUCUGCCUCCUCAAGAACGACCUGUACCACCGCCCCGCUACCCAGAAGCGACGACGCCACCGAAUCUCAGAUGACUUCCCCUGCCCCGGCUAAAGUACCAAACAGUGGAGCGACCCCUCUCCCAUCUUCUCCAACAUCAGGUAAGCAAUCCUCCUCCUUCUCAGUUUCCCGUCUCCUACAUGGGACAUAUAUGUUGCUGCUGUUGAUGUAGAUAUGUUCCACUCUUAUUCUUGGGAGAAGUUCUGAUUAACCUUUUAUUUGUGGGGCAACUACCACAACAUCUCGGGCUGCCGUGGCUUGCCAAUUAACUCCCCCCCCCCCCCCCCCCCCCCCCGAUCCAUCUAAUGUUUCUUUGUGCAGACCUUUUAAUCUAUCUUGGCAAGGUCUUUGAUGAAAAUGGUAGCAAAUUGUCGUUCGAAAUAAAUCAAGGUAAUCUUUAUGCUUCACUGCCAACAUGUCUUUUGAAACUUUGAUGCAGACAUUGAUAGCAUCAUUGGUUCAUAUAGCAGACUAUUAUUUGCCUUUUUUGUGGAAAAAAUCAAUUCAAUAAGUUUAUGAUCAUAUUUAUCUCAAGACUUCCGAGUUACGUGUCGUAAGAACAAUAUAUCCGCUGUCUCUUCUUGACAGGUAUGGUAUAUUGCUGCUAUCUUCAUAAUCUUUGGCAUUUCAUAGAUUGCACGACCAGUUCUGUCGCGGUUCAUUAUUUAUACAAUAGCGGAUUUUGUUGAGAAAACUGUUGUUUUAUACUUCUAGAAUUGCUACCUGUCCUAUGUGCAGAUUCCGUUUGAAUGUUUAAGGACAAGUUGUACGAUGAAAAAUAAAGUAGGGCAGCUAUCAUAAUUCACUAUAUACUAUUGGUCUGCCAUUGUUUCCCGAUGCAUACAUCUAGGAAGCGUGUGAUUUCAAGAUUGUUUCCCCAGUGCUAAAUAUAUUGACGCACUGGGGUCUUAUGUUCAGUAUUAUUUUUUAUAAUAUCUUCUUCACAGUAACAUCAUGUACUAAGUCGUCUCUCUUUUGUAUCAGCUAUCCUGUAUCAACUUCACGCUAACACCAGUUUUUUCAGUGAUGUUGAACAUGUCAAUCCUACACUUCUAUGCUUCGAUCAUGUUCCAGUCAGUUUUUCAGUCUUUGGUGGUGAUGUUGAAGUGGUGGCUAUUUCACCUAAUUAUGUUGGAAGUUUGCUCUCCAGAGAAAAUAGCCUUGCGGUGGGUACGAAAAAGUAGUUGGUGGACGGGUGGGGCAGAACAGGCCAAAAAAAGAAGCAAAAACGAUUGAGACCAUGGAGCCGGACUCAAUAGCAAGCUACACACGUCAUUGCACCAUUGGACGACCGGUGAUUCAACAGUCCCUAUUCUUUUUAUUGUUCUGGUUGUUUGUUCUAUAUAUACUUAUAUCCUAAGAUCUAAGCAAUUUAUGCAUAUUAAAUAGAUUUCUAUCUAUGGAAUUUGGUUAUCCCAUUUUUUUUUUAACUUGGCAUCCUGUUUUGAUUUGGAUCUGUAUCUAUCUUUGUACAAUUAAUAUAUAAAGUUUGAUUAA